UAAAAUAGUAUUUGACAAAAUGUGUGAAAUGUUGCGUAAAAUAUUAUACUAUGAAAAUGUAUUAGAAUUCAAAGUGAAUACUAAAAGCUCCUUACAGCCUGAAGAUGUUAACAAUUGGCAAUUGUGCCGUACUUGCUUGUGCGAAAUAGAUCUCGACGAUAGUUUGUCCAUCAAUGCAAUGGUCAUCGAUACAAUUCAAGAAAAAUUUCUGAAUAUUAAAGAAAUGCUUCAACUUUCUAUAGGAUAUACUAUAAAUCUUGAUCAUCCUUUACCGUCGAUGGUUUGCAAGUCAUGCGUCAGUAAAAUAACUAAAUUAUAUUACCUUACCGUUCAAAUUAAAAGAGCUGAAAACGUUUUAAAAUCGCUUUAUCAAAAUUUGAAUUCAUGCGAAGAGAACGAAUCAGAAAAUAAUGAAAGCUUAAACCCAAUUAAUGUAAAAGAUAGAAAAGAGUUAUCAACAACACCAAUAGAAUAUGAACAGUACGAAGUUUUAGAAGACAUUGAACUAUUGAGCUCAGAAGAAAAUGAUCCCAAUGAUGGUAAGCGAGAUGACGAUAAUGCUGACCUGUUGAGUGACAUUCCGCAAGGAAGUCUUGAAACAUAUGAACUAGUGCCGGCGAACGCCGAUGACGAAUUAUUUACUUUUGAGGACAUUAUUAAGUCGGAGGAAGAAGGAGCACAUUUAUCAGAAGAAGAAACGCCAAUUGUGGAGGAAAAUAAAGACAAUAAGGAAGGUACAAAAUCAAAGAAACCAGAAGAUGUUAAUAGUUUUAAAAAACGUUUACCCAUGCGUUAUAAACACAAACAACCUCGAGUAAAACGACCACUUUUAACCGAUCUUACGUGUUCAGUUUGUUCGCAAAGUUUCUAUAUUCAACGCGAUCUUGUACAGCACGUACAGCAGACGCAUCCCAGUGCGAAGGCCUUCAAAUGUCGUGAUUGUGGUCAAAAGUUUACACAUAUGCAAUCAUUGUCACGUCACAUGAAUACUCAUAAAACAUCCCUUUUUAAAUACGAAUGUAAAUAUUGUAUAAAAACAUUUGCGCGCAUUGAUGGCUUAAUACGACACCAUCGCACACAUACUGGCGAACGGCCGUAUGGAUGCGAUUUUUGCGAUAAGACCUUCAAGCAACGAACUGAGUUGAACGCUCAUGCCUUGACACAUGUAAACCACAAAAUGUUUGCCUGUAAUAUUUGUGAUCGUUUACUGUCAUCCCGCAACGGCUUGUAUUUGCACAAGAAAAAUCAUGAAAAUCGAAUUGGUCGCUCUAAAGUGAAAUUGAAACAACAAAUUAAAGAACAUGAAGACAAUUUAGAAAUUUAUCUAAUUAAACAAACUGAAGAGUGAAACAUGUGCACGUUUAUGUAUAUAUAUAUAUGGCAAAGCAAAAAGGAAACGCGGGAAGUAUGCAGCGCGAGCAGAGCUGAAUGAGUUAGUUAGCAAUGAGUAAAUCGAAUAUCUUGACAUUUUCCCAUUUGCAUAGAUAAAAGCAACUUCAAACAUCUUUCUUCAAAUAAUCAACUGAAACAAAUGAUAAGUUGUCGUUAAUAACAUACUCUCUUCAAGUAUGUAUAUGUGGCUGUGGAUAUUUUAUGUGUAUUUUAUUGGGGAUCAAAACCUUUGAUUCUGGACAAGGCGACGUUAUGCCGAUGAUGUUGAUGAUUUUGUUUGCAGUUGAUUGCUGUGGUAUUGCUUAUCGUCGCAUUGGUGGUACGCUGGCAACACGGUACAUACUAAUAUGCCGCACGCUCCAGACGUGUCGCCACAAUUUGCCGCCAACUGGCGUCGGUGAACUGUUUUCGUUUUUUUUUUUUUUCAUAUUUUAUUUUCUUUAUUUUUUAUUUAUAUUUAUUUGUUUAUUUAU